AAGUUACACCUUAAUGUGUCUGUUCCCUGACACUUCCCUUUGCUCUUCUCUCUUCCCAGUUGCCAUCUUUGGAUUUCUCCUCCCUCAGCCUCUUCUUGGAAGUGGAUACAGCAGCCUCUGCUAUCCUGAAAAGUUCAAGCACCCCAUGAGCACCUCAGGCAGGGAGUGGCCAGGCCAGGCCAGACAGAGAUGAAGGUCUCAUCAUAGCAUCAUCUCAUCCAAGGAGACCCUAGGUCUGAGCCCCAGUCUCCUUUUGCCAAGCUGGGGAGAACCUGGACCAUUGGCCAAGCUCCUGUGACACAGUUUCUCUGUCAGUUAAAGGGGCAGAAGUGGCAGGGUGGUGAAUGAAAGGGCAUUUGCUUCAGUACACAGGUCACAGUAAAGUGCUGCAAUGUCUACCAAGAAAGGCUGUGGGGGUCUGGGAGGUCCCUCUAGAGAAAUAAGGCUUGGCCUGUUAUGCGUAUCUGGGAGCUUGUGUGGUCUCUCUCCUGCCUCGACCCUGACAGCCAAGCUCAAGGCAUCCUGGUUGGUAUUUACUGGGCUGUGCCUCCCCAAGCCUGUCCUUUGCUUAAAGGCAUAUUUAUUUCAGUAGCUUCAGAUGCCACCUUCUCUUACCCUUCCCAACAUAGUCUACUCUAACCAAUGACCCUAAAGGAUAACAUCUGUGAUUUAAUCAUGGCUAGCAAAAAGGGCUGGGGCCAGCACACAUACCUCCACCAGCCCCAAACCUGGUCUUGGCCUCCAGGCCUAAGUCCUCCAUGCCAGUGGACACAGGAAGCUGGCUUUCCCAAGCCUCUUGGUCAAGUGAUAACCAAGGACUGGGCUGAAAUUUGGACUCGCCAGGGGCACUGGAGUGGCACCUGCUGUUUUCACCAAUAGGCUCCGACAUGGAGAAAUUAUGGCCCUGCUUUUCCAGGUGGUGCCACCCUGGGCCAUGGCUUGCUCCUUUCCCCUCGGUUUCCACCCUCAAUUUCCCUGUUUGCAUGGAAGCAGCGUUUACAGUCGAGAGAACUCAAGACUGUUUAUCUGGGGUCCUGCCCUGGCCUCCAGGUGGUGUAAGUCAGCAUGAGUGGGGCAAAGUCGUGGUUCUGGACAUGUGUCGUGCUGUCUAAACUCUCUUCCUCCAGCCCUUGCAGGUCCCCAAAGGAGACAUGAGGCCAUCCCUAUGUAUAGAGUACCCUGUCACCUAGGCACGCAGCUGAGAGCCACUCAUAGGCCUGAAUGCCUGGCACCCUGGCACCUGCCAUCUCUAUGGAGAUGGUCACUGCUAGUCAAAAAGUUCCCUAGGAGGAAGCGGUGAGGGCAGAGCCAGGAAGCUGUGUCUGCAUUUGUGUGUAAGAUGGUGGGCUGGGUCCUGACACAGCUGAUCUGUUUUGGACCCCUCUGCAAAUGCUAUCAGGGUUACUCUGUGCCCCCUGGAAGGAUCAAGAAAAUUUCCCUCCCACCUUUCCCUCAAUGUUUGAACCUAUUGCAUCUGGAAAAUCUGACUUCUGUUUGAAUCACCAGAGCCCUUCACAUACUCUGUUUCCAUAUAAUCUGUCAGAUGCUACCUGACCACUAGGAAAAUCCCACCUGUGCAGGGGUUUGUAUGGUACAUUGCUGUCUUGUGGUGACAUGACCUUUAAGGGUUUGAAAUCAGAGACCUGAUGCUCUCUCAGGGAAGGGAUGAGCAGAGGGUCACCAAACCCUAGAUUCCACCGCUGUCCUCUCCUGGUCCCCUAGUGCGUGUGAUCCUACCUCUGCUGUCCAUGGCCUCUGGAGGUGCUGGAGGGGGACUUUCAGUGAUGCCGCUGGGAGACCAUGUUCCAUUGAGAACCCCUCCCCAAGGUUCCAAUAAGCCCAGGGAGUAUACUGGUUCACAGAGCUGCACUUGACCUGUUGUCUUUGUCUCCACUCCUUGAACAGUCUCAUCUUGGAUCAGGCUGUUCCCCAUCUCCACGGCGGCUCUCUCAUUCAUCCCAACUGUGAUUUUAGUGACUGGGGGAAGGGAGAGGCCCCAGUGCGGCUCCUGUCCUUACUAGGUUGUCAGGCCUUCUUCCUUCAUGGAAAGUCAGGUUGACACUACAAAACUGAAAGGGGCCCCAGGCAUGCACAUAUAUCCCUCACUGGCCAUGCAUUCCUCUACGCCAUAAGCACAGAUCAGUGGCAGCUUGGAGACACACUGCGUGACAGUACACUCAGAAACUGUAAUGUCCUGUCAUGGAUUAAAUUGAGGCCCCAGAAAUCCAAGGCUUUUGAGUCCAAUUUAAAUUGAAUCCGGUGGCACUAAUCUGAAGAUAACAUCAUUAUGGAAACUGGAAAGAGACAGACACAAAAGGGUAGUGAAAGAUGCUCGGGUGGGGUGGGCUGAGGGAUGUGCCCACAGGUCAAGAUGGCAGCUGCGCAGGCCAGAUGAUCCAGAGUCUUCUAAGGCGGGGAAGCCCUUUCCAUGCCCUGACCAUGCCAUCCAGGCUCUAGGGCUAAGCAAAGGUGGACUGUGUUCCUUGGUAGUCACUUGGCUCAGCCCCUGGGAAAUGGUACACCACUUCAUGGAGGUGGUGGUGCCCAGGCCUAAACUCAAGUCGUCCCAUCAGCCAAACUCUCCCUACCAGAAACCAAGCCCCCCUCCUCGUGAGUGUUCCCAGCACCUUCACUCUGUAAAUAACUUCACAGGACCAUAUGGAACAGGUUUUAUUCUUUGUCCUGUCUAUGAGCAGCUGAGGCUCAGAGAAGCUGUGUCAUCUGCACAAAGCCACACAGCAAGAGGGGUGAGUUUGGGGUCUGGGUAGGUACAGAUUAUUUUAUAUAAUACACACUCAGGGACAAAGAAUUGAGACUCCCUAAAACUCUGGUGGUAAAAAGGUGACCAUUCAUCCCCCUCUGUGUGUGUGUGUGUGUUUUGCAGGUAUACAUGUUCAAGUGUGUGUGUGUGUGUGUGUGUGUGUGUGUGUGUGUGUGUGUGAAGCUGUGGAGGCCAGAGAUCAAUGCUCAAUAUCAUUCUCAAAUGCUCUUCAUCUUGUCUUUUGAGACAGGGUCUCAUGAUAAACCUGGAGCUCACCAGUUCAGCAGGUCUAGCUGCCAGCAAGCCUCAGGAAUCCAUCUGUCUCCACCUCCCCAGCACCGGGAUUAUAGGAUCCUAGCACCUGAGUCCUUGCUUUGAGUCUCUAUCUGGGUGGUGACACCCAAGACCUACACCAGGACAAGUGAGCCAACCUCAGGCUCCAGCCACGACUUCCGAGAGACGUGCCCACCACCUCCCAGGCUGGGGAACAGAGCCCAGAGCCGGCUUCCUGAAGAUGGAAUCCCAGAGUUGCCCCAAAUGAGGAGUGAGCCAGGAACAACAAACAGGAAUACAGGCAUUGUUGGGAGGGGCAAUUCCCCACCUCAGGAAUCCUUGUGGGGGGCCAGGGGGCCCACUAAGAUCCUAUGGCUGAGAGAUGGGAUCUGCCUGGAGCCAGCCUCAGUGUGGCCCUCCUCCCCUAGAGCGGCUGAUGCGGUCUCUGCUUUGGGGAUUUGGGACAAUUAUGUACAGUGGUUUGUGGGUUUUCUUUGGUAAUUGCCAGUUACCAGCCUGUGACUGCAAAAAGCCUCAGCCAGAGACAGGGGCAGCACCUGAAUUGCUGCAUUGGUGGGUCACAGGAGGGCCUGGCCUGGGCCCACAUGCCCAGGUUGGGGAGCAAUCAGGACAAAGUGGCUGAGGGAAACCUACCUGGGCACAUCUUUCUAGGCUCCUGUCUCUUGGCCACCUUCAACUUUGGGGCAGCUGUAUCUAGAUUUUUUGUUGACCAUGAGUCAAACAAGUGCUGGGGCCACACCAAAACUUCCACUCCAGAGAUUUCAGGACAGCUGGAAACCACUGGAGACACCCAGAUGUUUACCAUGACAGUCAGACAUGACCCAGCAUGUACAUACAGGCAAAGAGGCUCUCUGUCCAGGGCCACUGUCCAGAGCUAGUUUUGGAGGUGAGGUGCUGUGAGGUGCUGAUGUGUAUUCUUUUGUGUUUGGGCAAAAUGUCCUGUAGAUAUCUGUUAGGUUCAUUUGAUUCAUAACAUUCCUGUUUAAUUUUUGUGGGCCACCCUUCCCAUGGCACACCUGGCUCCAUGCAGAUAUCUGUUCUCAAGCUUUCCUACCUUCCCUACUUAGGGCAUGGAAAGAGACAAGGCUUGGAGCAAUCUCUAUGAGAUAUACGCAUGUCUAAGAAGUCCAAAAGAAUGUGAGGGACCUGGAACCAUUGGACACAGUUGUUCAAAAAGCCAGCAUGUCCAGUCUAUCUUAGCAGCAAUGGAAAUAGGGGUUGCCCAUUGCUAAGGUUCGGUUGCCAAGGCCUACAAAGCCAGGCUCCCCAAGGGCUUGAGGGGGUCUCAGGAGCUCUUAAGGGAAGGUGCUCAUAUCUGCGCAUUGCCACAAGGCACCGCACACUGGGGAGCGCUUGAGAGACCUAAGCUAGGCAUGUUGAAGGGUCGGAGAUCACUGAAUGAGCACUACAGGAUCAGUUCCUGCUUCAAUGUGAAUUUUUGUAUCCUUGCAUAGUCUCUGUACUUCAUGCACAAGCAUUUAAGAUGUCCAAAACCCAGGACUCUAAAACCACGAACCAUGCCCUGCUGUCAGCAGAAAGUUCAUGGGUAUCUGUGGGAAUACUGCUGCCACUGAGAACACUCAAGACCCCUGCUUCUCCCUAUCACAAGGCAGGUGACAGCCUCCAAGAUGCUUGAGUAACAGUCACUCAUCUCAAAAAAAAAAAUGUGGGGCCCACGGCACUGCACUUCCCUGGAAAACAAAGACAGUUAAGACAUCCCAUCUGGGCCUGGAGGCACAGGUCUGUCAUCCUAACUACUUAGGAGGAUGAGGCAGGAGCAUGGAAAGUUCAAGGCCAGCCUGCACAACUUAAUAAACUCUGUCUCAAAGUAAAAAGUUUUUUUUUUUAAUGACCUGUAGCAAUAGCUCAGUGGUGGAGUAUUUGGCUAUCAUGUGCAAGACCCUGGGUUCCAUCCCCAACACCCCCGAAAAGAUAUCCAGUCCCUUGUCAUUUCAACAGGUGACAACCUCCAAGGACCACCACCCUCAAACUGCUUCCAAGAGAAGGCCCCUCAUUCCUGAUUUGGGCUUACUAUUCUUGGCCAUGUUGCAGCCUAGAACUCUGAGAAAUUUAGUCUAGUUAUGAAUUAGGUAAACCUUUCCCUUUAUGAUUUAUGAUAUUGGCAUCAUGUUUAGAAAAUUUCCCCCAGCACAAUUUUAUUAAUUUAUCAUGUUUCAUUUUCUUUGCAGUUAAGUUUCUAUAGUCUGGGUUUAAAAAAAGAAUUAAAAACCCUUCCAUCCACCUGGAAUCUUUUUUUUUUCCUUUGUGGCAGUGUGAGGCAGGGAUCUAAUCACCUCUCCAUUCUCUGCUAGUCCUACAGUCCAUCCAGUGUCCUCUGUCCACUGGUUACUAGUGAGCCCCUUCCCCCCCUCCCUUCCUGCAUACAUGGUCUCCUACCAGACUCCGUUCUCUUCCACCAACUCCAGUCAACCUACAGAAAUGAAUAUAAUCAGCCUGGUUAUGCGUGACUCCAAAACAGCUGGUUAAUUCGCUGAAAAGAAUCCUGUACCAGAUGUUGGGAGAUCAUGUAACCCAAGGGUUGUUUCUCUAUUUUCAGUUUUAGCUGAGGAUUUUGAUGACUGUUUGUCCACUGACUCACCCAGCAAGUACGUAUACAAAGCCUUCUGGGUGUCCGGCACCGGACUGGGUUAUGGGGCCAGCAGUAAGUGGGUGAAUGGCACUUACUCGUUGUACUUGGAAGUCAGGCGCAGACGGAAGCAAGUGCACAUGCCAGGUCAUUUCUGGAAGGGACACAUGUCAUGAAAGAAGUGACAGGGUGUGGGCUAACGUGGCUGCUCAGGGAUAGCUUAAUGGAAGAGACAGCAUUUUUGCCUGGGUCGGAGACACUUCUUGGAGCAUUCAAAGGUUCAAGGUGGAGCAAUUCAAGACAGAGGAAAUGAAAAAAUCUGUGAUAGAAACGCUGUUCCAUGGGCAUUGUCAACUGCAUCAAGGAGAGUGGUAACAGAGUGGGGGUUUGGGAGGUGGCUGGGUCUCAAAGCAGAUACGCUGAAGGCAAUGUGAACCUGCCAUACAACUCAGUGUGGUGGACAUUUAUCCGAGCCCACAGUAGGAACAUGUAGGUCAGCCAUGCUGCAGCCUCUGCCUCCCCAUGAGACUCUCAGCAGCUGCCAUCCCACUCUCUAGCCAGCUAUCUCAGCCCUUGCUGGCCAGCCCCAGGUCCCCUACUGAGCUUUCAUCCAUGUGACUGUAUGGUUUUCUGGGAUGCCCUCCUACCCUGGCAUAUCCCUUCUGACCUGCCUGGAAAGCCAGACCUAUGCCUCAUAGAAGAAGCCUGGUGGUGAGCUGUGGGUGGGUCACUGUGAGACCAUCAAGCUCCCCAGGACACUCUCAGUUUUAAGGCAAGAUGUCUCGUGACUCAGUUUACCAAAUCACACACAGGAAUGAUCACAGGUUGGAUAGUCAUUAUGGACAGACACAGGACAGACACAACUGUGGUUCAGCUUCGGUGGUCAGGCAGAGAGAUGGAUUCAACUCAGCCUUCAGGGAUGGCGGUGUGUCCAUGGGUCCAGAUCCCACCUAGCCAGGGAGAAGGACAGCCAGACUCCAGUCACUUGGCUGGGUCCAGGCUGGGUAGAGGUGUUUGGGCCCAGCAGCUGCCCUUCCAAGGACCCCCGGGGCCUGUUGGGAGGCUGGUAAUUGGGCUCUGGCUGUGAUUUGGGCACAGCCGUGGGGGCUGCAGGGGGAGCGCUG